UACGUAGGGUGCAAGCGUUGUCCGGAAUUAUUGGGCGUAAAGAGCUCGUAGGCGGUCUGUUGCGUCGGCUGUGAAAACCCGGGGCUCAACUCCGGGCCUGCAGCCGAUACGGGCAGACUAGAGUUCGGCAGGGGAGACUGGAAUUCCUGGUGUAGCGGUGAAAUGCGCAGAUAUCAGGAGGAACACCAGUGGCGAAGGCGGCCUCUGGGCCUUUCCUGACGCUGAGGCGCGAAAGCGUGGGGAGCGAACCGGG
rnacentral:rRNA from 1 species